rnacentral:rRNA from 1 species
AUGGCUGCUAAGAAUGUUCUAGCUGCUGCGGCGGCGACACCGUCAGUUCCUGCUUUCAGGGCACCCUACUGCAAAUACACCUUCUGGAUCGGGUAUGUAUCAUAUGGCAUCGUCCUCGCACCGUGGCGCGCUGCGCCGGAGACAUGGACGAGGUUGAGCAGUAUGUGCCUUCGUCCUCUUCUCUCAGAGUGUGGGGCCGAGGAUAAGGACGAGGAGAAGAAAUAUGUGGCAUCUUCAUUGUUGUCCUCUUGGCGCGCGGUGCUGGAGAGACAGAAAAGGAGGCCGAGAGCUGGAAGUGCGCCAUAUUGUAGUGUUUUGUUUGAUGGGGAAAUAUCUUUGUAUGCCAGCAUAUAUUGUAGUGGUUUGUUUGAUGGGAACUACCUUUGUAUGCCUGCAUAUUUUGCUUAG